rnacentral:rRNA from 1 species
GCUGGCGGUAUGCCUAACACAUGCAAGUCGUACGAGAGUUUUUAACUCAAGUGGCGGACGGGUGAGUAACACGUGAGAAUCUACCUUUAGGAGGGGGAUAACAACUGGAAACGGUUGCUAAUACCCCAUAUGCUUUCGAGUGAAAUGGAUUUAUCCGCCUAGAGAGGAGCUCGCGGCUGAUUAGCUUGUUGGUAGGGUAAUGGCCUACCAAGGCGACGAUCAGUAUCUGGUUUGAGAGGACGAUCAGACACACUGGAACUGAGACACGGUCCAGACUCCUACGGGAGGCAGCAGUGGGGAAUUUUCCGCAAUGGGCGAAAGCCUGACGGAGCAAUACCGCGUGAGGGAAGACGGCCUAUGGGUUGUAAACCUCUUUUCUCAGGGAGGAACUCAAUGACGUGUACCUGAGGAAUAAGCAUCGGCUAACUCCGUGCCAGCAGCCGCGGUAAGACGGAGGAUGCAAGUGUUAUCCGGAAUCACUGGGCGUAAAGCGUCUGUAGGUGGUUUAAUAAGUCAACUGUUAAAUCUUGAAGCUCAACUUCAAAAUCGCAGUCGAAACU